rnacentral:rRNA from 1 species
CGCGUAGGCGGGUCGUUAAGUCAGAGGUGAAAUGCCAAGGCUCAACCUUGGAACUGCCUUUGAUACUGGCGACCUGGAGUUCGGGAGAGGUGAGUGGAAUUCCGAGUGUAGAGGUGAAAUUCGUAGAUAUUCGGAGGAACACCAGAAGCGAAGGCGGCUCACUGGCCCGAUACUGACGCUGAGGCGCGAAAGCGUGGGGAGCAAACA